GAUGAACGCUAGCGGCAGGCCUAAUACAUGCAAGACGAACGGUAAGUUGAGUAGCAAUACUUAGCCAAGAGUGUCGUACGGGUGCGUAACACGUAUGCAACCUACCCUAUACAGGAGGAUAGCCUAGGGAAACCUGGAUUAACCCUUCAUAGUAUUAUUGGAUGGCAUCAUUUGAUAAUUAAAACUGAGGUGGUAUAGGAUGGGCAUGCGUCUGAUUAGUUAGUUGGCGGGGUAAUGGCCCACCAAGACGAUGAUCAGUAGGGUUCUGAGAGGAAGAUCCCCCACACUGGCACUGAGAUACGGGCCAGACUCCUACGGGAGGCAGCAGUAGGGAAUAUUGGUCAAUGGAUGCAAGUCUGAACCAGCCAUGCCGCGUGCAGGAAGAAGGCCUUCUGGGUUGUAAACUGCUUUUGCCAGGGGAUAAAAUUUCCAUGCGUGGAAAACUGAAGGUACCUGGUGAAUAAGCCACGGCUAACUACGUGCCAGCAGCCG
rnacentral:rRNA from 1 species